rnacentral:sRNA from 1 species
GUGCAAUCGCGGGAAGCCAGGGUUUCCAGCUAGGACACAGCGGGUCGUGAUCCGGGUCGGGACACUGCCUGGCAGAGGCUGCGAGCAUGGGGCCCUGGGGCUGGAAACUGCGCUGGACCGUCGCCUUGCUCCUCGCCGCGGCGGGGGCAGCAGUGGGCGACAGAUGUGAAAGAAACGAGUUCCAGUGCCAAGACGGGAAAUGCAUCUCCUACAAGUGGGUCUGCGAUGGCAGCGCUGAGUGCCAGGAUGGCUCUGAUGAGUCCCAGGAGACGUGCUUGUCUGUCACCUGCAAAUCCGGGGACUUCAGCUGCGGGGGCCGUGUCAACCGCUGCAUUCCUCAGUUCUGGAGGUGCGAUGGCCAAGUGGACUGCGACAACGGCUCAGACGAGCAAGGCUGUCGUAAGUGUGGCCCUGCCUUUGCUAUUGAGCCUAUCUGGGUCCUGGGGAGUGGUCUGACUUUGUCUCUACAGGGUCCUGCUCAAGCUGCAAGGCAGCUGCCCCGAACUGGGCUCCAUCUCUUGGGGGCUCAUACCAAGCCUCUUCCGUCCUUCAAAUCCCCCCUUGACCAGGAGGCAUUACAAAGCGGGGAUGGUGCCACCUCUUCGGGUUUGUCACGCACAGUCAGGGAGGCUGUCCCUGCCGAGGGCUAGCCACCUGGCACACACAUUGGCAAGCCGCUGUGAUUCCCGCUGGUCGUGAUCCCCGUGAUCCCGUAAUCCCCGCCCCGUGAGGCUGAACACAUAGUGACACUUGCUAGCCAAGCCUCAAUGACCCACGUAACAUGAAGGGGAAAAAGCCAGAAAAUUCUGCCAAGGAGCAAGGCCAAGAAUCCCGAAGGGAAAUGGACUUUGAAGCUGGGCAUCUUCUUGACUGUCUUAAUACAAGUGGCACGUCCAAAUCCAAAACCCUGAAAUUCAAAGUCUUGAGCACCCGAAAUUCUGAAACGUCUUGAGCACUGACCUUUAGAAGGAAAUGCUUAUUGGAGCAUUUUGGAUUUCGGAUUUUUACCACUGAGUGUGGAGUCCUAAUUAGGAAAAAAACCAGGCUGGCCGAACCAAGGGAAAGCAAUAAAAGAAGGCAGAUAGGGUUGGGCACGGUGGCUCACCCCUGUAAUCCCAGCUCUUUGAGAGGCUGAGGCGGGUGGAUCACUUGAGGUCAGGAGUUCGAGAACAGCCUGGCCAACACGGUGAAACCCCAUCUCUACUAAAAAUACAAAAACUAGCCAGGCGUGGUGGCGUGUGCCUGUAAUCCCAGCUACUCGGGAGGCUGAGACAGGAGAAUCACUUGAACCUGGGAGGCGGAGGUUGCAGUGAGCCAAUAUCACGCCAUUGCACUCCAGCCUGGGGGACAAGAGCGAAAUUCUGUCUCAAAAAAAAAAAAAGAAGAAGAAGGCAGACAAACUAUGUAACUCUGCCUUUCUCCAUGGUCCAGAACACACAGCCCUCCUGUAUAAAUAACUCCUUAUCUUCCUGCGCCCAGCUAUCACCUGACACCUCAGCUGAUAGAAAAUUGAAAGUUAGCUCACAGCAACCUCGGCAUUAUAAGUACUGCACAAAGCCCUCUUCAGCGCACAGCACAAGCACCAGUCUAUAAAAUCUCCAGCAAGCGGCCGGGUGUGGUGGCUCACACUUGUAAUCCCAGCACUUUGGGAGACUGAGGCGGGCGGAUCACCUGAGGUCAGGAGUUUGAGACCAGCCUGGCCAACAUGGUGAAACCCUGUCUCUAUUAAAAAUACAAAAAAAGUAGCCAGGCGUGGUGGCAGGUGCCUGUAAUCCCAGCUACUUGGAAGGCUGAGGCAGGAGAAUUGCUUGAACCCGGGAGGUGGAGGUUGCAGUGAGCCGAGAUCGUGCCAUCCCACUCCAGCCUGGGGGACAAGAGCGAGACU